GACAGAGUUGGCCUUCGGGAUAACUCAGCUCCUUCCUUUGCUACUUGUGUGCCUGCCUUUUUUGGAUGGUUUAUUGUUUACUGACCAUUUCUCCUCAACUUUCCUCCUCUUUCAAAGUCAUUGCCGAGGGAAUGACUCCGCCACAAAGGAUCCUCUUUCCCCCCGAGAAGAUUUGCAUGGUCUGGCAGCAAAGACAGAGUGCUGGAGCAGGACUCCUCAAUGUGGGCAACACAUGCUUCCUUAAUGCUGUCCUGCAAUGCCUGACAUACACCCCGCCGCUGGCCAACUAUCUGCUCUCCCGGGAGCACAGCCAGGCCUGUCGCCAACAAGGCUUCUGCAUGAUGUGCAUCAUGGAAGCGCAUGUUAACAAGGUCCUGCGUUCAGUCAGUGCCAUCCUGCCUUUGGCUGUUCUCAGGGGUUUCAGAUUCAUAGGAGAACAUUUUCAGCUUGGCAGGGAGGAAGAUGCCCAUGACUUCUUAUGCUGUACUGUCAAUGCCAUGCAGAGAGCUU